rnacentral:rRNA from 1 species
UUCGCAAUGCCCGAAAGGGUGACGAAGCGACGCCGCGUGGGUGAGGAAGGCCCUCGGGUUGUAAAGCCCUGUCAGGAGUUAAGAAAUGCAGAUACGCUAAUAUCGUAUCUAUUUGACAAAGGCUCCAAAGGAAGCCACGGCUAACUCUGUGCCAGCAGCCGCGGUAAUACAGAGGUGGCAAGCGUUGUUCGGAAUUAUUGGGCGUAAAGAGCACGUAGGUGGAUUUGUAAGUCAGAUGUGAAAGCCUUCUGUUCAACGGAAGAAUUGCAUCUGAAACUACAAACCUUGAGUAUAGGAGGGGAGAAUGGAACUUCUGGUGGAGCGGUGAAAUGCGUAGAUAUCAGAAGGAACGCCGGCGGCGAAAGCGAUUCUCUGGCCUAUUACUGACACUCAGUGUGCGAAAGCUAGGGGAGCAAACGGGAUUAGAUACCCCGGUAGUCCUAGCCGUAAACGAUGGGCACUAAGUAGAGGGGUUUU